GUGGUGACACAGUUUGUUCCAGUGAAAAGAAGAUAGAUAGUGCAUGUUUCGGAAAAUUUCCCCUAUCAUAAUUGGGAGUUUAUGUGUAUACUGUUAUGACAAACAUAUACAUAAAAAGAACCUCGCUGAACAGUGAGAGUUACACAAGCAUAAAGAACCUCGUGACAACUGGAAAAAGAGCUGAUGGCGUUCCGCGCAAUCAAUGGAAUAUUAUCAGACAUUUCCGUGGGAUAUGUGGUUAGGCACCUCUCCCUGAUUAUCCAAAGGCAUGUACUGUGCCAUGAUGGCACGGAUCUCUGAAUCCAUAUAUCUCCGGAUCCUAUACUUGUACACGGCAUAUGCUCCAGCUCCUGCAACUGCCAAACCCAAGAUGAUAACCCAAACAAGACCCCAGCUAAAUGCUGCUUUUCCAUCAUUGCCUAUACACGUGUCAUGUUCUUGCAUGUACAAUAAAUUGCCGCUGCAACUGCAUUGAUAACCACCCCAGGUAUUCUUGCAUUUACAAUCUGGACACUGGCAUGCCAGCCUUUCUUUGCAUUCAUCAAUAUCUU
rnacentral:misc_RNA from 1 species